CAACAGUUAUAAUUAACUCUUUAAAAUACUCAUGGAAAACAUUUUCUUUCAUAUUUCAGCUACUGAAGCUGGAGGAGGGAGGUCUGGACAGGAAAUCCUUGUUAUUAUUGCUGGAUGCUUCUGUUUCAUCUUGCUGCUUCUGCUGCUGUUCUGCUAUGCAUGGCACAGAGGGGAAGCUCCUCCGCUGAUGAGAUGCAUAAAUCAACAGGUCCAAAGCCCUAAUGAGCCACAGAGAAGAUGGUCAGAGGCAGACCUGGAAAGGAUUUACAUAAAUGUCGUCUACUUUGGGAAGAGGUAGCCAAAAAACUGUGAUGUGCUCACAGUAUUUAGCAAAUGGUAGCUGAAAGACAAUGUACAAGGGUGACUAACAAAGCUGUGGGAGUUGUUUCAAGCUAGAACUCAUCAUCUGGAAAAAUAGAUGCUUUUUAAAAGAAUAAGCACAGCACUGCUGUGAUAGCUCCAGCUGGCAGAGAGCAGGACACUUCCCCAUCAACAGAGCUGGCAUUGUCUAGGAUUAAUACUCAGAAACCACUCCUGUACUCUGAGCACAACAUUUUAGCUGAUUGACCAAACAGUUUGGGCUGUGCCUAAACUAACCAGAGAAAUAAUCUCCUGAGUCCCAAGCUAGCUGUAUUAAUUCUGUAUUUAUGUAAGUAGAUCUCUAGAUCAAAUGCUGCUAAUGUUACCCUGUCCCUCAUAACUUUUAUGACUGUUGUCUCUGGCAAUGUAUUAUAUAAUUUUAUUAGAGUAAAUGAAUAGCAAUCGAUCCACUCUCCAUUCCAAGGAGAUCUGGAAGACAUUGAUGCUUUGGUGCUUUAUUUACAUUUAUCAAGGUCCCCAAAACUUGAUGAAUGCCUUAUGGAAUAUAUUUUGAUAGUGCCCUGUGAGUCACUGAUAGAACUAGGUAUGUUAUUGGGCAGGGACAGUUUGGAGCAAUGUUACAGACUGAAUGUGUCCAUAGACUUUGAAUAUCAGCUGUAACUUAGUGGACUGGGCUGGUAUGGGGCAAGAUUCUCUCCUGUCAUGAUGGUGGCAGCUGUGAA